UACAAGUGGAAAGUUUCAUCUUUCCCAUACCACGUGAAGGCAACGUAGGAUCUCGCUGAAUGCCCACGGAAAUGGCAAAUAAAUCGUUAAGCGUUGGCAGCGCGCAAACGGGACGCCACAACCGGACGAGCUCGAGCUGGGCACCUCGCGAAAUGUUGAAACAAGUUGUUCAACAACAACAACAAAACGUGCUGCUGCCAUUAGUUGCGAGCUCAGCGCUAUCACGGACGCUCACGGCCAGGACGAUCGGUCAACACGACCGACUCGAACGGGCUAACGACGAGCCCCUGGGCGCUCGCGUGGGCUCACCUCAACCAAUGUUGCCGCCCAAAAAGAUGUAGUUGAGCAAAUGACGUUUAUUGCAGCUUGGCGACCGCCCUUUGCGUUUGUGGCAUUGGCUUGUUAGUCAAACCUAGCAUAGCCAGCUAACAAUGGCUACCUUCCAGGCUAGCUCGAGUCAAGACAACCAUCAAUCCCAAAAAGCUACACAUGAUGACAUUCCUAUUUCGUUCAUAGGAAUACAUUCACGUUAUGACGUUUGACUUGCUAGCUGGGAGAGAGCGGCGAGAAAUGAUGAAAGGCUACAAAAACCAAGCAGUAUGAUGUCUCCGAUGUCCUGGCGUAUUUCGUGUCCGUUCUCGGCGCCGUUCUCCAGGCCCGACGGAGGCUCGUCGGCGGGGUGGUGUUGCGCUUGCGAUGGAGGCGGGGCUCGGUGGGCCAUCCCGGGGUGGCCGCUCAUGGCGAGGCCCCGGCCGUUGGAGGCCCCGUUGGCCGUCAGAGGCUGCUGCGGCUGCUGCUGCAACAUCUCGUCGAGCGACGCGCAGUGGCGGCGACUACGACUGCUGCUGCUGCUGCUGCUCGACGAUUGAGACUGAACUGAGCGCACCAGCGCCACCACUCCCCCAGCGCACACCAGGCGGCCGCCGGCCGGCAGGCUUAGCGGUCGGGACGCCCCCUCGCGCCAGCUGUGGGGACCUCCACGAGUUGACUGUCUCCAUCGAAAAUAAAGCACCGUCAAUGUCAA